GAUGAACGCUGGCGGCGUGCCUAAUACAUGCAAGUCGAGCGAACAGACGAGGAGCUUGCUCCUCUGACGUUAGCGGCGGACGGGUGAGUAACACGUGGAUAACCUACCGAUAAGACUGGGAUAACUUCGGGAAACCGGAACUAAUACCGGAUAAUAUAUUGAACCGCAUGGUUCAAUAGUGAAAGACGGUUUUGCUGUCACUUAUAGAUGGAUCCGCGCCGCAUUAGCUAGUUGGUAAGGUAACGGCUUACCAAGGCAACGAUGCGUAGCCGACCUGAGAGGGUGAUCGGCCACACUGGAACUGAGACACGGUCCAGACUCCUACGGGAGGCAGCAGUAGGGAAUCUUCCGCAAUGGGCGAAAGCCUGACGGAGCAACGCCGCGUGAGUGAUGAAGGUCUUCGGAUCGUAAAACUCUGUUAUUAGGGAAGAACAAAUGUGUAAGUAACUAUGCACGUCUUGACGGUACCUAAUCAGAAAGCCCCGGCUAACUACGUG
rnacentral:rRNA from 1 species